rnacentral:rRNA from 1 species
GGGGGCGAGCGUUGUUCGGAAUUAUUGGGCGUAAAGGGUGCGUCGGCGGUUUGGUAAGUCUUAUGUGAAAUCUACAGGCUCAACUUGUAGUCUGCAUGAGAAACUGCUGGGCUUGAGUAUGGGAGAGGUGAGUGGAAUUCCUGGUGUAGCGGUGAAAUGCGUAGAUAUCAGGAGGAACACCUGUGGCGAAAGCGGCUCACUGGACCAUAACUGACGCUGAUGCACGAAAGCUAGGGGAGCAAACAGG